GCCGGGCGUGGUGGGGCAUGCCUGUAAUCCCAGUGGCUUGGGAGGCUGAGGCAGGAGGUUUACAAUUUCAAAGCCAGCCUCAGCAACUUAGUGAGGCGCUAGACAACUCAGUAAGACCCUGUCUCUA
rnacentral:sRNA from 1 species